UACGUAGGGGGCUAGCGUUGUCCGGAAUCAUUGGGCGUAAAGAGCGUGUAGGCGGUCCGGUAAGUCCGCUGUGAAAGUCCAGGGCUCAACCCUGGGAUGCCGGUCGAUACUGCCGGACUAGAGUUCGGAAGAGGCGAGUGGAAUUCCCGGUGUAGCGGUGAAAUGCGCAGAUAUCGGGAGGAACACCUAUGGCGAAGGCAGCUCGCUGGGACGUUACUGACGCUGGAGACGCGAAAGCGUGGGGAGCAAACAGG
rnacentral:rRNA from 1 species